rnacentral:rRNA from 1 species
UACAGAGGUGGCGAGCGUUGUUCGGAAUCACUGGGUGUAAAGGGCGCGUAGGCGGUUCCGUACGUCGAAUGUGAAAUCCCACCGCUCAACGGUGGAAGUGCAUUCGAAACUGCGGAACUAGAGUACGGGAGAGGAGAGUGGAAUUCUCGGUGUAGCGGUGAAAUGCGUUGAUAUCGAGAGGAACACCGGUGGCGAAGGCGGCUCUCUGGAACGUAACUGACGCUGAGGCGCGAAAGCUGGGGGAGCAAACAGG